rnacentral:rRNA from 1 species
UACGUAGGGGGCUAGCGUUGUCCGGAAUCAUUGGGCGUAAAGCGCGUGUAGGCGGCCCGGUAAGUCCGCUGUGAAAGUCGGGGGCUCAACCCUCGGAUGCCGGUGGAUACUGUCGGGCUAGAGUGCGGAAGAGGCGAGUGGAAUUCCUGGUGUAGCGGUGAAAUGCGCAGAUAUCAGGAGGAACACCAAUUGCGAAGGCAGCUCGCUGGGACGGUACUGACGCUGAGACGCGAAAGCGUGGGGAGCGAACAGG